rnacentral:rRNA from 1 species
UACAGAGGUGGCAAGCGUUGUUCGGAAUUACUGGGCGUAAAGGGCGCGUAGGCGGUCUUGUAAGUCUUGUGUGAAAUCCCUCGGCUUAACUGAGGAACUGCACGGGAUACUGCGAGACUUGAGAUCGGGAGAGGGAAGCGGAAUUCCGGGUGUAGCGGUGAAAUGCGUAGAUAUCUGGAGGAACACCGGUGGCGAAGGUGGCAUCCUGGACCAUUACUGACGCUGAGUGAGCGAAAGCCAGGGGAGCAAACGGG